GGUGGCAGCAGUGGGAUCCAAAGGAGACAUCUGAUGGCUUAGGGGAUGAGAAACACAGGCAUUGGUACCCGCAAAACCUUUGAGUUCUCCAUGUUUGUCACUGAUUCUGAGAGCCGUGGAGUCAGCUCCAGAGUUUCAGCCAGCAGCAGAAGCAGAGCUGUGGGCAGUGGUGGAGGUAGAGCUGGCUCCAGCUCCGUUGACACCACACCCUCUAGCACUGGAGCCAGUGUCCCCUCUACCAGCAGUGUUGGAGGUGGAGCAAGGGCCAACAUGGGCUCCAGCAGGAGUGGGAGCUGCUGAGUUGGAGUCACCUGGACCAUCAUUUCUAGUGGGAAGUCCAUCUCCACCUGUGGCUAAGAAGUGUGAGAAGAAACCCAACCCUACGGCCUUCCCUCCUAAGCUGGUGGUGGAGCAGUUGAUCGUGAUGGAUGCAAGCGUAGAGGUGGACACUAACAGGACCUGCUGCACAGAGUGGCUGUGCCGGCUCCUUGAAGAGAAGGAAGGGAGCUCUUCCGGAAGGUGGUGCCCUCUCAGUGCCUGGGCUCCACCUGGGGCAAGAGGAACAAGCCCAGCAAUGAGCACCUGGCACACACCGUCCGGGCCACCAUCGACCACUUCAGAAGGGUGGCCAGCCACGUCGUCACCACCUGCCUCGGGGACCCGAGCAUGAUGGCACAGGACAGGGAGUGCAAGAUCCUGAAGAACUUCUCCUCGCCCUGCACUGUCAUCUCUGUUCUGCAGAAAACAUCCAUAUGCCACCUGAAGAACACAUGGAGGAAGUUU